CUGGAGCACUUCUGUUGUCUUUUGUGUUUGGCCACGGGAAAGCUAACGGGGAACCUACGUGGGCCCUGCUGCUGACAGCUCUGAUAGCUGAGCUGGGGAUUCUCAUCGCAUCUCUGGACAUGGUGGCUCCUGUUCUGACAAUGUAAGAUGCAGUUAUGUCACAUGCAUAUGCAUGUGUACGUGCACACUUAGUGUCUUCCCUCAUUAGUGAUGUGUCGGUUGUGAACGAAACGGCUCUUACAGCCAAAUCUUUGAAGUGAACGACGCGAGCUGGUUCCUUAUCGCCAGCCGUGGGGUUUUUUCUCCUUUCCUUCUCUCACCCUCUCUCUCGCACUUUUUUUCCGCUUCACUCCUCACGCGAGCCUUGUGCUUUGCGCUGGGGGGAGGGGCGGUAGUUACACUCUCAG
ensembl:lncRNA